rnacentral:rRNA from 1 species
CUUGACCUCAAAUCAGGUAGGACUACCCGCUGAACUUAAGCAUAUCAAUAAGCGGAGGAAAAGAAACUAACUAGGAUUCCCCUAGUAACUGCGAGUGAAGCGGGAAGAGCUCAAAUUU